rnacentral:tRNA from 1 species
GGGGUUGUAGCUCAGUGGUACAGUGCUUGCCUCACAAGUGUGAAGCUCUGGGUUUGAUCCCCAGCAUCACAU